rnacentral:rRNA from 1 species
CCUACGGGGGGCAGCAGUGAGGAAUAUUGGUCAAUGGCCGGAAGGCUGAACCAGCCAAGCCGCGUGAGGGAGGAAGGCGCAGAGCGUCGCAGACCUCUUUUGCCGGGGGACAAAAUGCCGGACUCGUCCGGUCCUGAGGGUACCCGGAGAAAAAGCAUCGGCUAACUCCGUGCCAGCAGCCGCGGUAAUACGGAGGAUGCGAGCGUUAUCCGGAUUCAUUGGGUUUAACGGGUGCGCAGGUGGGCCUUUAAGCCGGCGGUGAAAUCCCGGGGCAGAGCCCCGCCGAGCCGUCGGAACGGGGUGCCUGGAGUGCGGAGGAGGCAGGCGGAAUGCGCGGUGUAGCGGUGAAAUGCAUAGAGAUCGCGCAGAACCCCGAUUGCGAAGGCAGCGUGCCGAGCCGCCACUGACGCUGAGGCACGAAAGCGCGGGGAUCGAACAGGAUUAGAUACCCGGGUAGUC